AGAUUGAACGCUGGCGGCAUGCCUUACACAUGCAAGUCGAACGGCAGCGCGGGAGCAAUCCUGGCGGCGAGUGGCGAACGGGUGAGUAAUAUAUCGGAACGUGCCCUGGAGUGGGGGAUAACGCGAGCGAAAGUUGCGCUAAUACCGCAUACGAUCUACGGAUGAAG
rnacentral:rRNA from 1 species